rnacentral:rRNA from 1 species
GAUGAACGCUAGCUACAGGCUUAACACAUGCAAGUCGAGGGGCAGCGGGAUUGAAGCUUGCUUCAAUUGCCGGCGACCGGCGCACGGGUGAGUAACGCGUAUCCAACCUGCCCAUCACUUGGGGAUAACCUUGUGAAAGUAAGACUAAUACCCAAUGACGUCUCUAGAAGACAUCUGAAAGAGAUUAAAGAUUUAUCGGUGAUGGAUGGGGAUGCGUCUGAUUAGCUUGUUGGCGGGGUAACGGCCCACCAAGGCGACGAUCAGUAGGGGUUCUGAGAGGAAGGUCCCCCACAUUGGAACUGAGACACGGUCCAAACUCCUACGGGAGGCAGCAGUGAGGAAUAUUGGUCAAUGGACGAGAGUCUGAACCAGCCAAGUAGCGUGCAGGAUGACGGCCCUA